GGGGACAGCUGGCACUUCUGGGGCCAGCAAGACCUUAGGUUUGUCUGGCUGUUGUCCCCAGGCUGCCUGUCUGGCAGCUGCAUCAGCACUACGGUUUCCUUUUGUCACUGGGUCAUCCCCCUUUUGGUGGCCUUUACAGUGGGUAACUGCAGCUUCUUUAGGUUCCCAUACUGCCUCUAGGAGCUUUAAGAUUUCAGCCUGGUUUUUAAUUCCUUUUCCUUCAGCAGUGAGGAGCCCUCUUUCUUUAGAUAAGGCUCCAUGGACAUGUAAAGUUGCAAAGGCAUAUCGUGAGUCGGUAAGAUAUUAACUCGCUGGUCUUGGCUGAGUUCCAGUGCUCUGAUUAAGGCCCAUAAUUCUGCUCUCUAUGCUGACCAGCCUUGAGGAAGCACGUCUGCUUCUAUCACUUUUAAGUCAGAUACCACAGCAUAUCCUGCCAUCCUUUUUCCAUCCUCCAUAAAGCUGCUGCCAUCAGUAUAUAAAACCAGGUCAGGAUUUUGGAGUGGUUUAUCAGUCAAGUCAGUGCUGCUGGAAAACACCUCAUCUGGUACCUCCAGGCAGUUACGGUCUGGGGGCCCCGCUUCAUCUGGCGGAAAAGUAGCUGGGUUCAGAGUUUGUACAACCUCCACUUUUACCCGUGGAUUUUCACAUAGUAACCCUUGAUAUUGAGUCAUUCGUGCAUGUGUGAGCCAAUGGUGGCCCCUGGUAUCCAUUAGGGUUACAACUGAGUGUGGGACUUUAACAUUGAGGUUUUGUCCCAGGGUCAACUUGUCAGCCUCUCUCACCAACAAGGUGGUAGCUGCCAGUGCUUGGAGGCAAGGAGGCCAUCUGGCAGCAACUGAGUCAAUUUGUUUAGACAGAUAGGCCACUGGCCUCUGCCAUGGCCCAAAUUCUUGAGUUAAGACUCCCAAAGCCAUCCCAUUUUUCUCAUGAACAAAAAGGUUAAAUUCUCUGGUUACAUCAGGAAGUCCCAAGGCUGGAGCCUCAGUGAGUUUGGUUUUGAUUGUCUGAAACGCUGUCUCCUGGCUUGGUCCCCAUUUAAGGGGAGCCUUUUCUUCCCCUUUUAGAGCCUCAUACUGAGGCCUGGCCAGGUCUGAAAACCCGGGCAUCCAUAUCCGGCAGAAUCCUGCUGCCCCUAGGAACUCAGGAACCUUCCAGCGGAUGGUAGGGACAGGAAUGGCACAAACUGCCUGCUUUCUUUCAGUCCCCAGCAUUCGUCGGCCCUGCGUGAUGUUGAAGCCCAGAUACUUGACUUGUUUUUUGCAGAUUUGUGCCUUUUUCUUGGAUACCCGAUACCCUGCCUCCAUCAGUAGGGAAAGGAGAGCUCUUGUUCCCUCUAGGCACUGAGCCUCCGUGGUGCCAGCUAGUAAGAGGUCGUCAACAUACUGUAGCAAAACACAGCCCAGUUUUUGUCCAGGAAAUUCAGCCAGGUCAGCAGCUAAGGCGCCGCUAAAAAGAGUGGGAGAGUGGGAGUCUAGUCCAGGUGAGCUGUUCCUUUGUCCCUGUAUGUGGAUUCUCCCAUUCAAAAGCAAACAAGGGCUGACUAGCAGGUGCCACCCAGAGGCAGAAAAAGGCGUCUUUUAAGUCCAGAGUCUGAGCACCAGGUCUUUGUUCUCAGUCACUUUUAUACACUACAGGGUCUUGAUUUUCCCAUGUAAGCAUCCUGGACCUCCCC
rnacentral:lncRNA from 9 species